AACGCACCUUGCACCCUUUGGUAUUCCGAAGGGUACACCCGUUUGAGUGUCAUUGUACUCUCACGCCCGAGGAUUUUUAUGUCCGAGGGGUCGUGGACUUGGAUGCUGCCGUGUCACUACGGCUCGUCUCAAAUGCAUGAGUAUGACCUGCUUGUCAGCGUUAUUCGGUGUGAUAAGCAUCUUCACCGGAGUUUGGACCCCCAGGGGACCAGCGCUCGGCUCGCGAGGUCGGCUACAAACCGUCUUCGGACAAACCAAUUGACAAUUUGACCUCAGAUCGGGUGGGACUACCCGCUGAACUUAA
rnacentral:misc_RNA from 1 species